rnacentral:rRNA from 1 species
GAUCCUGGCUCAGGACGAACGCUGGCGGCGUGCCUAAUACAUGCAAGUCGAACGCACUGACGGAGAACUUGUUCUCUUGACGUGAGUGGCGCACGGGUGAGUAACACGUGGGAAACCUACCCUUCAGCGGGGGAUAACCAUCGGAAACGAUGACUAAUACCGCAUAGACGACAGAACCGCCUGGUUCAAUCGGGAAAGACGGCUUCGGCUGUCACUGAAGGAUGGUCCCGCGCUGCAUUAGCUAGUUGGUAAGGUAACGGCUUACCAAGGCGAUGAUGCAUAGCCGACCUGAGAGGGUGAUCGGCCACAUUGGGACUGAGACACGGCCCAAACUCCUACGGGAGGCAGCAGUAGGGAAUCUUCCGCAAUGGACGCAAGUCUGACGGAGCAACGCCGCGUGUGUGAAGAAGGUUUUCGGAUCGUAAAGCACUGUUAUUAGAGAAGAACAGCCGAUAGAGUAACUGUUAUCGGUUUGACGGUAUCUAACCAGAAAGUGACGGCUAACUACGUGCCAGCAGCCGCGGUAAUACGUAGGUCACAAGCGUUGUCCGGAUUUAUUGGGCGUAAAGGGAGCGCAGGCGGUUUGUUAAGUCUGAUGUGAAAGCCCACGGCUCAACCGUGGAACGGCAUUGGAAACUGGCAAACUUGAGUAUAGAAGAGGAAAGUGGAAUUCCAUGUGUAGCGGUGAAAUGCGUAGAUAUAUGGAGGAACACCAGUGGCGAAGGCGACUUUCUGGUCUAUAACUGACGCUGAGGCUCGAAAGCGUGGGGAGCGAACAGGAUUAGAUACCCUGGUAGUCCACGCCGUAACGAUGAGUGUUAAGUGUUGGGGGGCUUCCACCCCUCAGUGCUGGCGUUAACGCAUAACACUCCGCCUGGGGAGUACGACCGCAAGGUUGAAACUCAAAGGAAUUGACGGG